rnacentral:rRNA from 1 species
CAAUAGCAUAUAUUAACGUUGUUGCAGUUGAAAAGCUCGUAGUUGAACUUUUGGUAGGAGCGACCUGGUCUUGGGCUGUAUGGUCCUUGUUUACUGUGUGUCGUAUCUGGCCAUCCUUCUUCGCUUGCAAAAGAGUGAGGAUCAUUUACUGUGAGUAAACUGGAGUGCUCAAAACAAGACGUAUUGUUUGGUACAUUUUAGCAUGGAAUAAUAAGAUAGGACCUAGUUACUAUUUUGUUGGUUUGCAUAGCUGGGUAAUGAUGAAUAGGAACAGUCGGAGGUAUUCGUAUUUAAUUGUCAGAGGUGAAAUUCUUGGAUUUCUGAAAGACGAACCACUGCGAAAGCAUUUACCAAGGAUGUUUUCAUUA